UACGGAGGGUGCAAGCGUUAUCCGGAUUCACUGGGUUUAAAGGGUGCGUAGGCGGGUUAAUAAGUCAGUGGUGAAAGCCCUCAGCUCAACUGAGGAAUAGCCACUGAAACUGCUAAUCUUGAAUCUGGUUGAAGUGGGCGGAAUAUAUCAUGUAGCGGUGAAAUGCUUAGAUAUGAUGUAGAACAACGAUUGCGAAGGCAGCUCACUAAGCCAACAUUGACGCUGAGGCACGAAAGCGUGGGUAGCGAACAGG
rnacentral:rRNA from 1 species